GGCAAACAUACAUUCGCAGACUUCUGAUAAGUAGUAUUAGUAAUAAUCUGAUUGCUCCAUUCUUUCUCGCUUGGGUUAUUAUCUGAUUCAUACUUGUCCCAUUUGAAGCCUCGCUGAAAAGUAUUAGCAACUGGCAUAUGUCCGGCUAUACUUCAAUUUAGUAGGAUCCCUUGGUAGAAUAAACUGCUUCUUUAGCUUACAUACAGGAUUCCACCAUGGACGAUCACAAUAUGCCACCUGAUUCUGGUUGUGGUCCUUGCAACUAUGUUGGCGAUCACCGUUUUUGCAAAGGCUGCGUCCUUAGUACUUAUUUCUCGCAAUCAGAACUUAGUAAUUUUCAAAUUUUGUACCAGCACUUUGGAUUGAAGAACCUUAAGACAAAAAUUGUAGAGAUUGAGACCAGAUUGGGCGCUGAUGGAGUUCGUUUCUGGAUUGAGGAGUAUCUUGGUUGGCUAAGCCUGCAUGUUAUAACGUACGACGGGUCAAGGUAAAGGAAGUUGAGACCAAUCUUUGGCUUUGUAUUUGUAAAACUUGCAAUACAAAAAUUCCUUUUGGAACAUGCGUUGGGGCUACAACCUGAAAAGUUACGUGAAAAAUGCCAGAAGCAUGUAGAUUUUAUUUUCAAAUAUGUGUUGGAGUUACUAGUGUUUGAUACAAGUGGAGAUUCCUGGCUUUCUGCAUUUGAUGAAGAUGCGGGGAAAAAUUCUCUUUAUGAACUGUACAACCUCAAAUCUGCAGUAAAAUCAAUUUAUUAUCGAUUUUUACCAUCCGUUCUUUGCGAUUAAUUAGUGACAAAUUUUACUAUUGGGCACAUAAAACCAUAUA